UGAGGAAUAUUGGUCAAUGGGCGCAAGCCUGAACCAGCCAAGCCGCGUGAAGGAUGACGGCCCUAUGGGUUGUAAACUUCUUUUGUAUGGGAAGAACUCCCCGACGUGUCGGGGGCUGACUGUACUAUACGAAUAAGCAUCGGCUAACUCCGUGCCAGCAGCCGCGGUAAUACGGAGGAUGCAAGCGUUAUCCGGAUUCAUUAGGUAUAAAGGGUGCGUAGGCGGAUUAAUAAGUCAGUGGUGAAAUACUACAGCUCAACUGUAGAACUGCCAUUGAUACUGUUAGUCUUGAGUACAAUUGAGGUAGGCGGAAUGUGUGGUGUAGCGGUGAAAUGCUUAGAUAUCACACAGAACACCGAUUGCGAAGGCAGCUUACUAAACUGUAACUGACGCUGAUGCA
rnacentral:rRNA from 1 species